rnacentral:rRNA from 1 species
AUUGAACGCUGGCGGCAUGCCUUACACAUGCAAGUCGAACGGCAGCACGGGAGCAAUCCUGGUGGCGAGUGGCGAACGGGUGAGUAAUGUAUCGGAACGUGCCCAGUCGUGGGGGAUAACGUAGCGAAAGCUACGCUAAUACCGCAUACGAUCUAUGGAUGAAAGCGGGGGACCGUAAGGCCUCGCGCGAUUGGAACGGCCGAUAUCGGAUUAGGUAGUUGGUGGGGUAAAGGCCUACCAAGCCGACGAGCUGUAGCUGGUCUGAGAGGACGACCAGCCACACUGGGACUGAGAAACGGCCCAGACUCCUACGGGAGGCAGCAGUGGGGAAUUUUGGACAAUGGGCGCAAGCCUGAUCCAGCAAUGCCGCGUGCAGGAUGAAGGCCUUCGGGUUGUAAACUGCUUUUGUACGGAGCGAAAAGGCUCUCUCUAAUACAGGGGGCUCAUGACGGUACCGUAAGAAUAAGCACCGGCUAACUACGUGCCAGCAGCCGCGGUAAGAC